GGAGAGAUGGCUCAGCGGUUAAGAGCACUGGGUUAUUAUUCCAGAGGACCUGGGUUCAGUUCCCAGCACCC
rnacentral:tRNA from 1 species